AAAUAAACCCGACCGACAGCGUUAUCCCGAUUAAGUGCAAUUUAAUUUUUCGAAGAUUUAUCGGGGUUAAGCAAAGGGCGGGACUAGCG
rnacentral:sRNA from 1 species